AAAGUACUCCCUCCAUGCCAAAAUUCUUGUCUUAGAUUUGUCUAGAUACGGAUGUAUCAAGUCACAUUUUAGUAUUAGAUACAUCCGUAUCUAGACAAAUCUAAGACAAGAAAUUUGGGACAGAGGGAGUAGUUG
rfam:Triticum aestivum genome assembly, contig: Triticum_aestivum_CS42_TGACv1_scaffold_062077_1DL